ACAAUAAAACAAGAUCUCAUCAGUUUGCUUUCAUUCAGGUGUGUUUCAUGACUAAAGCAGUGACAUGCAAGAGUAAAUUACAUUUAUAACCAACACGCCAUGAAGUCAAAAAUCUUGGUUCUAAAAUUAAAACUAAUCAUGACCCAAACUGAGUAAAAGAAUGAUGCUGUUUUUAUCUAUUAUUUGAUCCAGAUCAGUGAUAGGUGGUAGUUUACAAAAUGGGAGAUAUGGCUCACCACCCGUGAUGCCAUUGAAACAAUAAUGAAAUCUAUCAGUUGUUUCCUGAACGACAUUUAUACUGAUUUCCUGGAAGGCUAUCUAUGGAAGAAAAUAUAGCCAUUCCCCAGACAUUGGUGUUGGUUCGUAGCGUUUAUUCUGAAGAUAUUAAGCACCUACCUUAGUCAAGCUUGAACAAAAGUCAUUUAUAGAAAACAGAAAUUCUUUAAAACAAAGUAGCAGACUCAUGGAGCCUGUUUAUCAAGUCAAGUUAAGUUUAUCUGUGUAGCACACUUGUGCAACACGUGUUUUAUAUGAUAACAUCUGUGAAAAGAAGAAAAAAAGGCCUUUUUUUUAUAGAAAAGAAGAACUAGAUGUAGAAGACGUGUGGCAUGAAAAGACGCAAGCAGCAAAAA